rnacentral:lncRNA from 1 species
AGGGCUUUUGUGAUUUUUAUUUUUUAAUCGAAAAUUAUUUUUACUUUUUUUUUGUAUUCCUAAUAUGUUUUUAAUAUUUAUACUACUUUUAAGUUGUAUUUUAUUUGAGUAAUCAAGGGUUAAUUUUGGGAUUAUGAGAAAAUUUAUGGGAGAAAUUUCAUGUUUACCACUUUCAUGGUACCACUUUUCAUCUUUACCACCACUAAACAUAUAUUUUCAAAAUACAUUUUUUCAUUAAGUGGCAAAAUACUCUUAUAUUCUUGUUCUAUAUAUAUAUAUAUAUAUAUAUAAUAAAUCAUUAUUUAAAUAAAUAAUAUUUUUUUAGGGUCAAUUAGCCAAAUAGCUAAAAUUUGAAGUGAAAUUAAGAGAAUGUCAUUGAUUUUGACGUAAUUGAGUAACUAACAUUUAAGGCCCAUUUGAUCCGGUAAUACCCUUGGUUGGUGCAAGUAACCGGUGAAAGAUAGAAAGUUAGAUGACGUAAACAAAUUGAGGUAUGGCUAAUAUUUAAAUCACAUCUGAGUGAAUAUAAGGAACCACGUCACAUAUUUAUGACCACAUACAUAUGUUUCAGUGUUCUAUUCCACAUCACCGAAAUAAAACAGAUUUCUAACCUCACUCACAUACUCUAAUACUAAACAUUAUCCCAAAUGUAACCCAUAUAUACUAAACAUUAUCCAAAUCCCACCCCAACCCCUUAAUACUAAACCAUAAACCUUAAUCAAUAAACCCUAAACUCAAAUACAUAACUCUAAACCCAAAUAUAAAUUCUAAAUCCAAAUAUAAAUUGUAAACCCAAAUAGAAUGAAACAAAAUAAAUAAUAUGGUAUAUAUUGGUAAAAUUAUGAAAUGUCUAUAAUUUCGUAGAAGAAGUUGAUGUUGAUCCCAACUAUACCUCCUCAUCUUCUAAAUACUAAACCCUAAACUAUAUUCACUAAUCCCUAAACUCAAAUAUAAACCAUAAACCCAAAUAGAAUGUAACAAAAUAAAUAGCAUGGUAUAUAUUGGUGAAAUUAUGAAAUAUCUAUGAUUUCAUGGAAAAGGUUAAUGUGACCCAACUGUAC